rnacentral:rRNA from 1 species
AGUAGCAGAAGAAGCACCGGCUAACUCCGUGCCAGCAGCCGCGGUAAUACGGAGGGUGCAAGCGUUAAUCGGAAUUACUGGGCGUAAAGCGCACGCAGGCGGUUGGAUAAGUUAGAUGUGAAAGCCCCGGGCUCAACCUGGGAAUUGCAUUUAAAACUGUCCAGCUAGAGUCUUGUAGAGGGGGGUAGAAUUCCAGGUGUAGCGGUGAAAUGCGUAGAGAUCUGGAGGAAUACCGGUGGCGAAGGCGGCCCCCUGGACAAAGACUGACGCUCAGGUGCGAAAGCGUGGGGAGCAAACAGGAUUAGAUACCCUGAUAGUCCACGCCGUACACGAUGUCGAUUAGGAGGCUGUGUCCUUGAGAUGUGGCUUCCGGAGCUAACGCGUUAAAUCGACCGACUGAGGAGUACGGGCGCAAAGUUAAAACUCAAAUGA